GUGCUUGCUUCGGCAGCACGUAUACUAAAAUUGGAAUGUUACAGAGAAGAUUAGCAUGGCCCCUGAACAAGGAUGAUACGCAAAUUCGUGAAGCAUUCCAUACUUUU